rnacentral:rRNA from 1 species
CAGCCGCCGCGGGAAUACGAAGGGUGCAAGCGUUACUCGGAAUUACUGGGCGUAAAGCGUGCGUAGGUGGUGGUUUAAGUCCGUUGUGAAAGCCCUGGGCUCAACCUGGGAAUUGCAGUGGAUACUGGGUCACUAGAGUGUGGUAGAGGAUAGUGGAAUCUCCGGUGUAGCAGUGAAAUGCGUAGAGAUCGGAAGGAACAUCUGUGGCGAAGGCGACUAUCUGGGCCAACACUGACACUGAGGCACGAAAGCGUGGGGAGCAAACAGGAUUAGAUACCCGCGUAGUCCCUGUCUCUUAUAC